ACCUUCGCAAUGCGCGAAAGCGUGACGAGGUUAAUCCGAGUGACUUCCGCUGAGGAGGUCUUUUGUCAGCUGUAAAUAGGCAGGCGAAUAAGGGGAGGGCAAGCCUGGUGUCAGCCGCCGCGGUAAUACCAGCUCCUCGAGUGGUCGGGGCGAUUAUUGGGCCUAAAGCAUCCGUAGCCGGUUCCGUAGGUCCUCUGUUAAAUCCAACCGCUUAACGGUUGACCUGCAGAGGAUACCGCGGGACUAGGAGGCGGGAGAGGCGGACGGUACUCCGCGUGUAGGGGUAAAAUCCUUUGAUCCGCGGAAGACCACCAGUGGCGAAGGCGGUCCGCCAGAACGCGCUCGACGGUGAGGGAUGAAAGCUGGGGGAGCGAACCGGAUUAGAUACCCGGGUAGUCCCAGCCGUAAACGAUGCUAGCUAGAUGAUUCAUUCGCAAGUCGCGAAUGAAGUGUCGCAGGGAAGCCGUUAAGCUAGCCGCCUGGGGAGUACGGUCGCAAGACUGAAACUUAA
rnacentral:rRNA from 2 species